rnacentral:misc_RNA from 1 species
GAUGAAGAACGUAGCGAAAUGCGAUAAGUAAUGUGAAUUGCAGAAUUCAGUGAAUCAUCGAAUCUUUGAACGCACAUUGCGCCCGCCAGUAUUCUGGCGGGCAUGCCUGUUCGAGCGUCAUUACAACCCUCAGGCCCCCGGGCCUGGCGUUGGGGAUCGGCGGAAGCCCCCUGCGGGCACAACGCCGUCCCCCAAAUACAGUGGCGGUCCCGCCGCAGCUUCCAUUGCGUAGUAGCUAACACCUCGCAACUGGAGAGCGGCGCGGUCACGCCGUAAAACACCCAACUUCUGAAUGUUGACCUCGAAUCAGGUAGGAAUACCCGCUGAACUUAAGCAUAUCAAUAAGCGGAGGA